GAUGAACGCUAGCUACAGGCUUAACACAUGCAAGUCGAGGGACCGGCGCACGGGUGAGUAACACGUAUCCAACCUGCCCUUUACUCGGGGAUAGCCUUUCGAAAGAAAGAUUAAUACCCGAUCUAAAGGAUGGGGAUGCGUUCCAUUAGGUUGUUGGUGAGGUAACGUCUCACCAAGCCGUCGAUGGAAAGGGGGUCUGAGAGGAAGGUCCACCACGUGGGACCUGAGACACGGUCUAAACGCAUAGGGGGGGCAGCGGUGAGGAAUAUGGGUCAAACGGCGCUAGCGAGAACCAGCCAGUUAGCGGUAAGGAGUAAGGCGUAGGGGUCGUCAACUGCUUUUAUAUAAGUAUAUGUAUUAUAUGAAUAAGGAUCGGCUAACUCCGUGCCAGCAGCCGCGGUAAUAC
rnacentral:rRNA from 1 species